rnacentral:tRNA from 1 species
AAAAACUUAGUUAAAAAAUAACAUAGACUUGUCAAGCCUAAAUUAUCUAGUUGGAUAGUUUUUA